rnacentral:rRNA from 1 species
UAACGCGUGAGGAACCUGCCUUCCCAGAGGGGGACAACAGUUGGAAACGACUGCUAAUACCGCAUGAUGCGUUGGAGCCGCAUGACUCCGACGUCAAAGAUUUAUCGCUGGAAGAUGGCCUCGCGUCUGAUUAGCUAGUUGGUGAGGUAACGGCCCACCAAGGCGACGAUCAGUAGCCGGACUGAGAGGUUGGCCGGCCACAUUGGGACUGAGAUACGGCCCAGACUCCUACGGGAGGCAGCAG